rnacentral:rRNA from 1 species
UACAGAGGGUGCAAGCGUUAAUCGGAUUUACUGGGCGUAAAGGGCGCGUAGGUGGUUGUUUAAGUGAGAUGUGAAAUCCCCGGGCUUAACCUGGGAACUGCAUUGGUGACUGGCAGGCUUUGAGUGUGGCAGAGGGGGGUGGAAUUCCGCGUGUAGCAGUGAAAUGCGUAGAGAUGCGGAGGAACACCGAUGGCGAAGGCAGCCCCCUGGGCUGACACUGACGCUGAGGCACGAAAGCGUGGGGAGCAAACAGG